CCCGCCUGCCCUUUCCCCUCCAGCCUCUGCCGGUGCUGCUGCGCCUUGCGGAGCUCCGAACACGUGCGCCUCCGGCCUAAGUUACAGAGUUUUGAGGGCAGGGACUCUGAGCUGCACACAUGUUCUCUGUUGGCUGACUAACCUGGAGUUUCAUUGCAGAGAGGUCAGCUAUGGCAGAUGGAACUGCAGGGUGACUUGA
rnacentral:lncRNA from 1 species